rnacentral:tRNA from 1 species
GCCUUCGUGUUGUAACCGGUAGCACACUCGGCUCGUAUUCGAGAGUUUCAGGUUCGAAUUCCGCCGAGGGCA